UGACAAANCUUGGCAUGUGAUAUGGUGAAUGGAUCCGGUGAAUGGUUCAGCAAGUCUUCAAAAAAGAAUAUAUACGAUUGCAUUGCAUAUACUAACGGAUGCGAUCAUACCAGCACUAAUGCACCGGAUCCCAUCAGAACUCCGCAGUUAAGCGUGCUUGGGCGAGAGUAGUACUAGGAUGGGUGACCUCCCGGGAAGUCCUCGUGUUGCAUCCCUCUUUUUUUUUUUUUUUUUUGGUUAAAACUUUAUGACUCCAUAACUUCUAGACAG
rnacentral:rRNA from 1 species